UCGGGAAUUUUGGGCAAUGGGCGAAAGCCUGACCCAGCAACGCCGCGUGAAGGAUGAAGUAUUUCGGUAUGUAAACUUCGAAAGAAUAGGAAGAAUAAAUGACGGUACUAUUUAUAAGGUCCGGCUAACUACGUGCCAGCAGCCGCGGUAAUACGUAGGGACCAAGCGUUGUUCGGAUUUACUGGGCGUAAAGGGCGCGUAGGCGGCAAUUCAAGUCAUCUGUGAAAUCUCCGGGCUUAACUCGGAACGGUCAGAUGAUACUGCUUUGCUAGAGUGCAGAAGGGGCAAUCGGAAUUCUUGGUGUAGAGGUGAAAUUCGUAGAUAUCGGGAGGAACACCAGUGGCGAAGGCGGCGAUCUGGGAAGAUACUGACGCUGAGGUGCGAAAGCGUGGGGAGCAAACAGGAUUAGAUACCCACGUAGUCCCUGAGCGGGCUGGCAAGGCGCAU
rnacentral:rRNA from 1 species